rnacentral:rRNA from 1 species
AUGGCGCUGGUGCCCAACUGCCCCCCGGAUCUCCGGAUCUACGAUUCGGUUUACGAUUGCGGGCUGUCCUCGCGCCGGGAGCAGGCGGAGCAUAGGUCGCGGCUGCUGGACAAGAUCCGGGACUCCUACCGCAAGGCGCUGGAGCGGCUCAACCCCAGGGCGAGGCCCGGCAUGGCGGCGCGCUUCCUCCACGCCGGUGGUUUCUGCCUGGGCUUCGUCGACCCGGUCUCCAACGUCCUCGCCAACACGCUCGUCUCCCACGGGCGCGCGGAAUCGGCCGGCGAGCGCGACCUCGUCUACGUCCCCGAGGAGAAGCUCAGGGACCUGGAGCGCCGCUCGCUGGACGGCCUGGUCACCUUCCUCACCCGCUUCUUCCCCUACCUCCCCGACUGCCACGCCGUGCGCUUCCUGCUCCUCGCCGACGCCCACCCGAUGGUCGCCCUCCGCAUCGCCGCGUCGGACCUCGGCAUCAGCCGAAUCGGGUCCGACAAGCGCGCCUUCGACGAGGCCCUCGGCAUGGCCUUUAAGUGCGCCGCCAUGGCCGCCAAGCACCCAGACCCUGACCGACUCUUGCGCGACUGGCUCGCCAUCUCCAGCCGACUCCCCGACAACGUGGGCCUCCUCGCCGAGGUGCGCCGCCGCUCCCCGCCAUCCACCCUCGACAAGGUCGCCAAGCUGGUCGACGGAUCACCGCUGCCGCUCGACUCAUGCCUCUGGCUUUCGUUUUUAGUCGCGGGUUCUCGUCUCGGCAGCGUGCCGCACCUGCACAGCAGCGCUCUCAAGGGGACGCUCCAGGACGCGGUCCACGGGUUCUACCUCCAGGCCCUCGCCCGGCUGCCGGCCGGCGAGCUGCGCUCCCGCUUCCACCGCAGUCUGCUCGUUGCAGGCAACUGCUAUGGCCCGCUCGACCCUGUCUCCAACAUCAUCAUCAACACCAUCUGGUAUGAUGCAGCGUUCCCACAGACUGCAAAACUCGAGGUGGAUGUCAUCGGCACAAUGAUUCUCCACCGGAUGGAGAACUGCUCCUUGUUCGGCCUCAUCUCCUUCCUCUGCACGCGGCACCAUCACAUCGAUUUCAAUCAAGCUAUUCGAUGCUUGCUCCAGGCAAAUGGCAACCUACUCCAAGCUGAUCAUCGCCUUGAUGCUGGCUUCCGGCGGGAGUUCACCACCGGCUUGGAGAAAUCCUUUUUGGCUGCUGCUAGGGCUGCCUAUCACCCCAACCCUGAUGCUCAAGCAAAGCUUUUGCAUUCCUGUCCAUCUCAGGAGAUAUCAAGGCUACUGCAGGGUAGUGGCCAACUCUCUUCUGAAGAAGUUCAGUGCCUUGCCAGGUUGUUGUGUCCCGAGGCCGCCUGCAGCGAGCAGCCACUUCGGCCCCAUCCAGACUACUUGUUUUCGCAUACAAGGAUCUCCAAGAAGAUAAGUGCUGCAUUGAGUGCAUAUGCUGCAAUGCUUGGUGGGGAAACCAUGUAUGAGCUUCAUACUAUCUGUGGUGUGAACGAAUGCGUGUCAGGCCCAGUUGGCACUGAUGCUAAGUGCUACCACACUCAUGCCAAUUUCCUGGCAACUCCCAAAGGCGCUCAGUUUCCUACCGGCACAACUCCGUUGCUAUUCUUUGCUGAGGUGUGCAAUGGUGAUGAUGAGCACAGAGCUGGAGCACAACCCUUCGUCUGCCCUGUGUCAGUGCCGUUACCAUGCGCUGAACGGGUACGGUGCCUUUACUGCGAUCACAUGGGGAUCAGGAUCGUGCAUCCAGUUUGGGAAGACUUCCAUGGGCGCAAGUUGGAGUUUGAGAAGAUGUUCCGUGGAGAAGACCCCUGCGACAAAGAUUUUGAUCCUGCAGUGGACCGGUCAUAUUACACCAACAUGAAGAUCAUCGACCAUAGCCACGUGACGACGGAGAGGCUUAAUGGUAGGGUAGAAGAGGACCGCCUUUACAAUGAUCCGUUGGAGGAUAGUAGUGAUGGGUAUGGUAGCGACCUGACUUUGAUGAGCGAAGAGUAUGAUAGUGAUUUAGAUUUGCAUUCCAUGACUGACGAGCGUCAUGUCUCUCACCCCAUGGUAAUAACAUCUUGUGGUAGCGUUUAUUAA